rnacentral:rRNA from 1 species
AUUGAACGCUGGCGGCAGGCCUAACACAUGCAAGUCGAACGAGUGGCGGACGGGUGAGUUAUGUGUGGGAAACUGCCCGAUGGAGGGGGAUAACUACUGGCAACGGUCGCUAAUAGCGCAUACCAUCGGAUGUGCCCUGAUGGGAUUAGCGAGUAGGUGGGGUAACGGCUCACCUAGGCGACGAUCCCUCGCUGGUCUGAGAGGAUGACCAGCCAGAAUGGAACUGAGACACGGUCCUGACGCCGACGGGAGGCAGCAGUGGGGAAUAUUGCACAAUGGGCGCAAGCCUGAUGCAGCCAUGCCGCGUGUAUGAAGAAGGCCUUCGGGUUGUAAAGUACUUUCAGCGAGGAGGCGUUACCCGCAGAAGAAGCACCGGCUAACUCCGGGCCAGCAGCCGCGGUAAUAC